AUUGAACGCUGGCGGCAGGCCUAACACAUGCAAGUCGAACGAGUGGCGGACGGGUGAGUAAUGUCUGGGAAACUGCCUGAUGGAGGGGGAUAACUACUGGAAACGGUAGCUAAUACCGCAUACCAUCAGAUGUGCCCAGAGGGGAUUAGCUAGUUGGUGGGGUAACGGCUCACCAAGGCGACGAUCCCUAGCUGGUCUGAGAGGAUGACCAGCCACACUGGAACGGAGACACGGUCCAGACUCCUACGGGAGGCAGCAGGGGGGAAUAUUGCACAAGGGGCGCAAGCCUGAUGCAGCCAUGCCGCGUGUAUGAAGAAGGCCGUCGGGUUGUAAAGUACUUUCAGCGGGGAGGCGUUACCCGCAGAAGAAGCACCGGCUAACUCCGUGCCAGCAGCCGCGGUAAUUC
rnacentral:rRNA from 1 species